UGCCCGGUCGUCUAAUGGCAGGACAGCAGACUUUGGAUCUGCUUAUCGAGGUUCGAAUCCUCGCUGGGCAG
rnacentral:tRNA from 4 species